CCUACGGGGGGCAGCAGUAGGGAAUAUUGCUCAAUGGGGGAAAGCCUGAAGCAGCAACGCCGCGUGGAGGAUGACGGUUUUAGGAUUGUAAACCCCUUUUGUUAGAGAAGAUUAUGACGGUAUCUAACGAAUAAGCACCGGCUAACUCCGUGCCAGCAGCCGCGGUAAUACGGAGGGUGCAAGCGUUACUCGGAAUCACUGGGCUUAAAGCGUGCGUAGGCGGGGUAAUAAGUCAGAUGUGAAAUCCUGUAGCUUAACUACAGAACUGCAUUUGAAACUGGUACUCUGGAGUGUGGGAGAGGUAGGUGGAAUGCUUGGUGUAGGGGUAAAAUCCGUAGAGAUCAAGAAGAAUACUGAUUGCGAAGGCGACCUACUGGAACAUUACUGACGCUGAUGCACGAAAGCGUGGGGAGCAAACAGGAUUAGAUACCCUUGUAGUC
rnacentral:rRNA from 1 species